rnacentral:rRNA from 1 species
AUGUUGGGUUAAGUCCCGUAACGAGCGCAACCCUUGUCCUUAGUUACCAGCACGUUAUGGUGGGCACUCUAAGGAGACUGCCGGUGACAAACCGGAGGAAGGUGGGGAUGACGUCAAGUCAUCAUGGCCCUUACGGCCUGGGCUACACACGUGCUACAAUGGUCGGUACAAAGGGUUGCCAAGCCGCGAGGUGGAGCUAAUCCCAUAAAACCGAUCGUAGUCCGGAUCGCAGUCUGCAACUCGACUGCGUGAAGUCGGAAUCGCUAGUAAUCGUGAAAUCAGAAUGUCACGGUGAAUACGUUCCCGGGCCUU